rnacentral:rRNA from 1 species
GACAGAGGGUGCAAACGUUGUUCGGAAUUACUGGGCGUAAAGCGAGUGUAGGCGGCUUUGUAAGUCGGAUGUGAAAGCCCCGGGCUCAACCCGGGAAGUGCACUCGAUACUGCCAAGCUAGAGUAUCGGAGAGGUUGGUGGAAUUCUCGGUGUAGAGGUGAAAUUCGUAGAUAUCGAGAGGAACACCGGUGGCGAAGGCGGCCAACUGGACGAAUACUGACGCUGAGACUCGAAAGCGUUGGGAGCAAACAGG